GGCUAACUAGUUCAGUUGGUAGAGCGCUCCACUGGAAAUGGUAAGAGAGGUCCUUGGUUCGAUACCAAGACCAGGCG
rnacentral:tRNA from 1 species